UACAGAGGGUGCAAGCGUUAAUCGGAGUUACUGGGCGUAAAGGGCGCGUAGGUGGAUAUUUUAGUCGGAUGUGAAAUCCCUGGGCUUAACCUAGGAAUUGCAUUCGAUACUGGGUAUCUAGAGUAUGGUAGAGGAAAGUGGAAUUCCCGGUGUAGCAGUGAAAUGCGUAGAUAUCGGGAAGAACAUCAGUGGCGAAGGCGACUUUCUGGACUGAUACUGACACUGAGGCGCGAAAGCAUGGGGAGCAAACAGG
rnacentral:rRNA from 1 species